rnacentral:rRNA from 1 species
CCUACGGGAGGCAGCAGUGGGGAAUAUUGGACAAUGGGCGAAAGCCUGAUCCAGCAAUUCCGCGUGUGUGAAGAAGGCCUUCGGGUUGUAAAGCACUUUAGGUUGGGAAGAAAAAGCUCCGGUGAAUAUCCGGAGUGUUGACGGUACCAACAGAAUAAGCACCGGCUAACUCUGUGCCAGCAGCCGCGGUAAUACAGAGGGUGCAAGCGUUAAUCGGAUUUACUGGGCGUAAAGCGUGCGCAGGUGGUUUCGUAAGUCGGAUGUGAAAGCCCCGGGCUCAACCUGGGAACUGCGUUCGAUACUGCGAGACUAGAGUUUGGUAGAGGGUGGCGGAAUUCCCGGUGUAGCGGUGAAAUGCGUAGAUAUCGGGAGGAACAUCAAUGGCGAAGGCAGCCACCUGGGCCUGAACUGACACUGAGGCACGAAAGCGUGGGUAGCAAACAGGAUUAGAUACCCUGGUAGUCCACGCCGUAAACGAUGAGAACUUGACGUCGGUCCCGUUUACGAGUCGGUGUCGUAGCUAACGCGAUAAGUUCUCCGCCGUGGGGAGGUACGGCCGCGAGUAGAACACGAAGAAGUAGACGGCGUGAGACGUCGCCGACGGACGACGACGAGGGAGGAGG